rnacentral:rRNA from 1 species
UACGUAGGGGGCAAGCGUUGUCCGGAUUUAUUGGGCGUAAAGAGCGUGUAGGCGGCCAGGUAGGUCCGUUGUGAAAACUCGAGGCUCAACCUCGAGACGCCGAUGGAAACCAUCUGACUAGAGUCCGGAAGAGGAGAGUGGAAUUCCUGGUGUAGCGGUGGAAUGCGCAGAUAUCAGGAGGAACACCAAUGGCGAAGGCAGAUCUCUGGGCCGUAACUGACGCUGAGGAGCGAAGACAUGGGGAGCGAACAGGA